ACUCAAAGGAAUAGACGGGGGCCCGCACAAGCGGUGGAGCAUGUUGUUUAAUACGUCACUAACCGUAGAACCUUACCAGGGUUUGACAUGCGCCGAAACGCCAUGAAAGUGGCAUUCCCCUUAAAAGGACGGCGACACAGGUGUUGCAUGGCUGUCGUCAGCUCGUGUCGUGAGAUGUUGGGUUAAGUCCCGCAACGAGCGCAACCCUCAUCCCAUGUUGCCAGCGGUUCAAGCCGGGAACUCUUGGGAAACUGCCGGGGUAACUCGGAGGAAGGUGAGGAUGACGUCAAGUCAGCAUGGCCCUUACACCCUGGGCUACAAACAUGCUACAAUGGACGGUAGACAAAGGGAUCCGAUGCCGCGAGGUGGAGGCAAUCUCAAAAAUCCGUUCUCAGUUCGGAUCGCAGGCUGCAACUCGCCUGCGUGAAGCCGGAAUCGCUAGUAACCGCAGGUCAGCUAAACUGCGGUGAAUCCGUUCCCGGGCCUUGUACACACCGCCCGU
rnacentral:rRNA from 1 species